rnacentral:misc_RNA from 1 species
GCAAACUUGGUCAUUUAGAGGAAGUAAAAGUCGUAACAAGGUUUCCGUAGGUGAACCUGCGGAAGGAUCAUUACUGAAUUUUUUUUUAGAACAUUGUUCUAAAAAUUCAUUUCAAACACCUGUGAACUUUUUAUUAAACAUUUUGCUUUGGGCCAAAGCUUUUUCGAAAAGAUUUGGCCCAAAGGUUAUAAAAUUAUAAACUCUUUUUUUUUUAAACAUAAUUGUCUGAAAAUGAUUAAUUUAAUAAUAAAUCAAAACUUUCAACAACGGAUCUCUUGGUUCUCGCAUCGAUGAAGAACGCAGC